GGGGGUUUAGCUCAGCGGCAUAAGCACCUGCCUUGCAAGCAGGUGGUCGUGAGUUCGAUCCCCGGUAACCGAUA
rnacentral:tRNA from 1 species